GACGAACGCUGGCGGCGUGCUUAACACAUGCAAGUCGAGCGAUGAAAGCCUUAUGAACUAUUCGUAGUGAUUGGGGCCGGAUUAACGGCGGACGGGUGAGUAACGCGUGAGCAACCCGCCUUAAACAACGGGAUAGCCUCGGGAAACCGGGAUUAAUACCGUAUGAGACCCCGCCUUCACAUGAAGAAGAGGUUAAAGAUUUAUCGGUUUAAGAUGGGCUCGCGUCUGAUUAGCUAGUUGGUGAGAUAAAAGCCCACCAAGGCAACGAUCAGUAACCGGCUUGAGAGAGUGAACGGUCACAUUGGAACUGAGACACGGUCCAAACUCCUACGGGAGGCAGCAGUGGGGAAUAUUGCACAAUGGGGGAAACCCUGAUGCAGCGACGCCGCGUGAGCGGUGAAGGAAUUCGUUUCGUAAAGCUCUGUCCAAGGGGAAGAUAAUGACAGUACCCUUGGAGGAAGCCCCGGCUAAAUACGUGCCAGCCGCCGCCGUAA
rnacentral:rRNA from 1 species